rnacentral:rRNA from 1 species
AGUGAACGUUGGCGGCGUGGAUUAGGCAUGCGUGUCGAGCGAGAACCGUAGCAAUACGGGGACAGCGGCGAAAGGGACAGUAAUAUGUAGGUACCUACCCUCGGGUCCGGGAUAGCUGCGGGAAACUGCAGGUAAUACCGGAUGACAUCUCCGGAUCAAAGGUGUGAUUCCGCCCGGGGAGGGGCCUGCAUCCUAUUAGCUUGUUGGUGGGGUAACGGCCUACCAAGGCGACGAUGGGUAGCGGGUGUGAGAGCAUGACCCGCGUCAUUGGGGCUGAGACACUCCCCAGACACCGACGGGUGGCUGCAGUCGAGAAUCUUCGGCCAUGGGGGCAACCCUGACCGAGCGACGCCGCGUGCGGGAUGAAGGCCUUCGGGUUGUAAACCGCUGUCGUAGAGGAGGAAAUGCAGGGGGGUUCUCCCCUCUGUUUGACCUAUUCUAGGAGGAAGGACGGGCUAAGUUCGUGCCAGCCGCCGCCGUAA